CCAGACUCCUACGGGAGGCAGCAGUGGGGAAUAUUGCACAAUGGGGGAAACCCUGAUGCAGCGACGCCGCGUGAGCGAUGAAGUAUUUCGGUAUGUAAAGCUCUAUCAGCAGGGAAGAAAGAAAUGACGGUACCUGACUAAGAAGCCCCGGCUAACUACGUGCCAGCAGCCGCGGUAAUACGUAGGGGGCAAGCGUUAUCCGGAUUUACUGGGUGUAAAGGGAGCGUAGACGGCUGCGCAAGUCAGAAGUGAAAGCCCGGGGCUCAACCGCGGGACUGCUUUUGAAACUGUGUAGCUAGAGUGCAGGAGAGGUAAGUGGAAUUCCUAGUGUAGCGGUGAAAUGCGUAGAUAUUAGGAGGAACACCGGUGGCGAAGGCGGCUUACUGGACUGUAACUGACGUUGAGGCUCGAAAGCGUGGGGAGCAAACAGGAUUAGAUACCCGAGUA
rnacentral:rRNA from 1 species